rnacentral:rRNA from 1 species
AUAAGUUUAGUUAUGAUAUAUAUUUCAAGAAAUUUGGUAUCUAGUUUUUUUAGAAGAUGAGUUUAGUAGGAAAUCUUAAAGAAAAAAAGCAGGGAUUAGCUUGUUUUAUUUAUAUGUUAAAGAAAAAAAUUUAUUUUGGGUAGGAUUGAUAUUGCCUAAUAUAAAUAUAUAUUUAUAAUAAAAAAUUAUGGAAUAAAAUUUGAUUUUUUAUUAAAAUUGUUUAUUAUAUAAAAAAUUUUUAUAAAAUUUUAAUUUAAAGGUUAUAAUGAGAUAAUUAGUAAAGUUUAAUUUUAUUUAAGGAAGUAAAUUUUGUUUAAUUAAUGGAAAUGAAUUCGGCAAAAUAUUUUUUUGACUGUUUACCAAAAACAUUGUUUCAUGAUGAUAUAUGAAAUAAUGUCUGUCCACUGACUUAUUUUUGAAGGACUGCAGUAUUUUGACUGUGUGAAGGAAGCAUAAUCAUUACCUUUUUAUUUUGGGGUUGGUAUGAAGGUGAACCAAAGAGAUUCUUAAUUUUAAUUAAUAUUUUGAAUUUAAUUUUUGAGUGAAAAAUCUUAUUUGUUUGAGUGGGACAAAAAAACCCUAAUGAAUUUCAUUGCUAUUAUUAUUAUAUAAAAGGAUAUAAUUAGGUGAUAUGAUUUUAAUAAUUUACUUGGGGCGAUGGGUUUUAUAACAUUAUUAGGGUUUAAUUUUU